rnacentral:rRNA from 1 species
UACGUAGGAGGCAAGCGUUGUCCGGAAUUACUGGGCGUAAAGCGCGUGUAGGUGGUGGGACAAGUCUGCUGUGAAAGCGCCUGGCUUAACCGGGCGAGGUCGGCGGAAACUGUCCGACUCGAGGACGGUAGAGGGGGGUGGAAUUCCCGGUGUAGUGGUGAAAUUCGUAGAUAUUAGGAAGAACACCAGUGGCGAAGGCGGCUCACUGGCCCGGUACUGACGCUGAGGCGCGAAAGCGUGGGGAGCAAACAGG